rnacentral:rRNA from 1 species
UACAGGGGGUGCAAACGUUGCUCGGAAUCAUUGGGCGUAAAGGGCUCGUAGGCGGCCAACUAAGUCGGACGUGAAAUCCCUCGGCUUAACCGGGGAACUGCGUCCGAUACUGGAUGGCUUGAGUUUGGGAGAGGGAUGCGGAAUUCCAGGUGUAGCGGUGAAAUGCGUAGAUAUCUGGAGGAACACCGGUGGCGAAGGCGGCAUCCUGGACCAACACUGACGCUGAGGAGCGAAAGCCAGGGGAGCAAACGGG